GCUUCAUUCAAUCCACGUUUUAGUGUAGUUGUUGUGGGACGUAAUCACAUCAUCGUUAUCGCGAAAAGGCAUUUUUGGAGGAGUUCCGGGUAGUAGAAAGGUGCAUCAUUUUGUGGGCCAUAGGUGCAUGUGACAGGAGUUCUGGUGGUGGUAGUGUCAGUGGCUCGAUAGAGGUACUUGCCAGGUUUGUGCAGGAGUGCACAGACUAGCUGGUGGGGUCGUACGACGCGUUGGGGUCAGGAGGGCUGUUUUGGGGCCAAGGGGGCCCCAGCGCUGUGCGCCCAAGGGGGCCCCGCCCUGUAGGAUUGUCCAUGUCCGUGUGGCUGUGUGUGUGGCUGUGUGCGUGUAACGGACCAAACAUAAUAUCUCGCCCCGGCUGAAACGCGUUAUUGGUUAUAUAUUGCAUCCUCUAUUGCAAGGUAUCUCGCCUGUAGCCAACAAAAAUCGUAUGAGCACAAACAAGUUUGGCUGCCUCCAUUGACCGAGGUCAAAGUCACAUGUUAUGUACAAAAGGAGGUGGGUAAUCUAACCCCGGGGUAGGGGUAAUCCCUUACUGAGG
rnacentral:lncRNA from 1 species